AGCCGCGGUAAUUCCAGCUCGCAAAAUGCAUAGAAUUAUUGCUGCGGUUAAAAAGUUGGUAGUGGGUUCUGUGCUGGCGUGUUGGUCCCCCUCCGGGUGCGCACUGGCAGCCGUCGGCUUUUGUGCAGCUCAAGCGGCUCGGUUGCCCCUCACUGGGUGCCGUGUCCGUUGCUGCAAGUUUACCUUGAGCAAAUCAGAGUGCUCUACACAGGCGUUUCGCUUGAAUGUUCGUGCAUGGAAUAAUAGAAGAAGAAUUCGGUUCCAUUUUAUUGGUUUUAUAGACCGGGAUAAUGGUUAACAGAGACAAACGGGGGCACUCGUAUUGCUACGUGAGAGGUGAAAUUCUUGGACCGCAGCCAGACGAACUACAGCGAAAGCAUUUGCCAAGAAUG
rnacentral:rRNA from 1 species